rnacentral:rRNA from 1 species
ACGCUGGCGGCAGGCCUAACACAUGCAAGUCGAGCGGCAGCGGGAAGUAGCUUGCUACUUUGCCGGCGAGCGGCGGACGGGUGAGUAAUGUCUGGGAAACUGCCUGAUGGAGGGGGAUAACUACUGGAAACGGUAGCUAAUACCGCAUGACGUCGCAAGACCAAAGUGGGGGACCUUCGGGCCUCACGCCAUCGGAUGUGCCCAGAUGGGAUUAGCUAGUAGGUGAGGUAAUGGCUCACCUAGGCGACGAUCCCUAGCUGGUCUGAGAGGAUGACCAGCCACACUGGAACUGAGACACGGUCCAGACUCCUAUGGGAGGCAGCAGUGGGGAAUAUUGCACAAUGGGCGCAAGCCUGAUGCAGCCAUGCCGCGUGUGUGAAGAAGGCCUUAGGGUUGUAAAGCACUUUCAGCGAGGAGGAAGGCGUUGUAGUUAAUAGCUGCAACGAUUGACGUUACUCGCAGAAGAAGCACCUGCUAACUCCGUGCCAGCAGCCGCGGUAAUACGGAAGGGUGCAAGCGUUAAUCGGAAUUACUGGGCGUAAAGCGCACGCAGGCGGUUUGUUAAGUCAGAUGUGAAAUCCCCGAGCCUAACUUGGGAACUGCAUUUGAAACUGG